AGUGACUUGGCGUAGUGGUUCAACGCCUGGUGGCCUCCUGGGAGGAGGUAGGUUCGAAUCCUACAGUCACCA